rnacentral:tRNA from 1 species
GCCUUGAAGGUUUAAAGUUAAACAUCUGGUCUUGUAAACCAGAAGAGAGGGUUAAAUCCCCUCUCAAGGCU